rnacentral:rRNA from 1 species
ACGUAGGUGGCAAGCGUUGUCCGGAAUUACUGGGUGUAAAGGGAGCGUAGGCGGGAAGACAAGUUGAAUGUUUAAACUAUCGGCUUAACCGGUAGUCGCGUUCAAAACUGUUUUUCUUGAGUGAAGUAGAGGCAGGCGGAAUUCCUAGUGUAGCGGUGAAAUGCGUAGAUAUUAGGAGGAACACCAGUGGCGAAGGCGGCCUGCUGGGCUUUAACUGACGCUGAGGCUCGAAAGCGUGGGUAGCAAACAG